AUCAUUAGCAUAAUUUUGGUAUCAUUAUAAUGUAAUAUGAUGUCAUUAUGACAUCAUAAUCUGAUUGUAUUGCCCAAAAUGUCAUAAUACUUGUUUUUCCCUA